rnacentral:rRNA from 1 species
CAGCAGCCACGGUAAUACGUAGGUGGCAAGCGUUGUCCGGAGUUAUUGGGCGUAAAGGGCUCGCAGGCUGUUUCUUAAGUCUGAUGUUAAAGCCCCCGGUUCAACCGGGGAGGGUCAUUGGAAACUGGGAAACUUGAGUGCAGAAGAGGAGAGUGGAAUUCCACGUGUAGCGGUGAAAUGAGUAGAGAUGUGGAGGAACACCAGUGGCGAAGGCGACUCUCUGGUCUGUAACUGACGCUGAGGAGCGAAAGCGUGGGGAGCGAACAGGAUUAGAUACCCGGGUAGUCCCUGUCUCUUAUAC